GAUGAACGCUGGCGGCGUGCCUAAUACAUGCAAGUCGAGCGAACGGACGAGAGGCUUGCUUCUCUGAUGUUAGCGGCGGACGGGUGAGUAACACGUGGAUAACCUACCUAUAAGACUGGGAUAACUUCGGGAAACCGGGGCUAAUACCGGAUAAUAUUUUGAACCGCAUGGUUCAAAAGUGAAAGACGGUCUUGCUGUCACUUAUAGAUGGAUCCGCGCUGCAUUAGCUAGUUGGUAAGGUAACGGCUUACCAAGGCAACGAUGCAUAGCCGACCUGAGAGGGUGAUCGGCCACACUGGAACUGAGACACGGUCCAGACUCCUACGGGAGGCAGCAGUAGGGAAUCUUCCGCAAUGGGCGAAAGCCUGACGGAGCAACGCCGCGUGAGUGAUGAAGGUCUUCGGAUCGUAAAACUCUGUUAUUAGGGAAGAACAUAUGUGUAAGUAACUGUGCACAUCUUGACGGUACCUAAUCAGAAAGCCACGGCUAACUACGUG
rnacentral:rRNA from 1 species